rnacentral:rRNA from 1 species
GAUGAACGCUGGCGGCGUGCCUAAUACAUGCAAGUCGAGCGAACAGACGAGGAUCUUGCUCCUCUGACGUUAGCGGCGGACGGGUGAGUAACACGUGGAUAACCUACCUAUAAGACUGGGAUAACUUCGGGAAACCGGAGCUAAUACCGGAUAAUAUAUUGAACCGCAUGGUUCAAUAGUGAAAGACGGUUUUGCUGUCACUUAUAGAUGGAUCCGCGCCGCAUUAGCUAGUUGGUAAGGUAACGGCUUACCAAGGCAACGAUGCGUAACCGACCUGAGAGGGUGAUCGGCCACACUGGAACUGAGACACGGUCCAGACUCCGACGGGAAGCAGCAGUAGGGAAUCUUCCGCAAGGGGCGAAAGCUUGACGGAGCAACGCCGCGUGAGUGAUGAAGGUCUUCGGAUCGUAAAACUCUGUUAUUAGGGAAGAACAAAUGUGUAAGUAACUAUGCACGUCUUGACGGUAACUAAUCAGAAAGCCACGGCUAACUACGUG